GUUCCAGGCCAGGGGGGAAGUGAGACAAAAACCUGCUCUCCUCCAGACAUGGGCCUCCCGGGGCUGGAACAUCUCUGCCAAAGCAGAGUGUAGCAGCAGCUCUGAAAUGGACAUAAAUUGUGUUUCAUUUCCCACAGUGGGAACACGAAUGUUUGGCCGUACUUCACACCUUACUGCCAAGGUUUUCACCCCAACGCCCUAGGCUGCUCUUCCCAGUCCUUCUAUCCAUGACACCUAAGCCCCUAGAGCUGGUUGGUGUGGGCGUCCACACCGCAGACCUGAUGCCCUGGACUGUUGACACCAUCAGGGUGUGUCAUGGUACGUGUGUGGGGAGACCCCUGACCCCCAGACCCCAGGUGACGCUGUGGCUCCCUGCAACCUCAGCAGGGACAUCACUGUUGCCGCUGUGCUCUAUACUGGGACCAGCAGAAGCCAGCGAGGCCUCCUCAGUCCUCCUGUCCUACCACUCAGACUCCAGGAAGAACCAGGCUCCGGGGUCCGCCGCGGGUUUUCUGGAUCCAAAGGUGCCUCGUACGACGCCGGGCUCCUGCUGGUCACUAUGUUGGAGCCUGAGGACGAGGCUGACUCUGACCGUGCAGGCUGGUACAACAGGGCUUCUCAGAGUGACACAGGCAGAUGGAAACCGGGACGAGAACCUCAGCCUGUCAGGGGCUUGUUCUCAGAACUGUCAAAUUUCCAAUAAAUGCCCCAGAAUCAAUUAA